ensembl:snRNA U6 U6 spliceosomal RNA
GUCCUCGCUUCAGCAGCACAUAUACUAAAAUUGGAAUGAUACAGAGAAGAUCCGUAGGGCCCCUGCACAAGGUUGACACGUGAAACUCUUCAGGGUUUUAACUUUAAA